GUCUCACUUUUGGGCAGGAUAUAUACUAAAUUGAAACAGAAAGAUUAACAUGGCCUCUGUUCAUGAAUGACACACAAACUUGUAAAGCGUUUCAUAUUUUU
ensembl:snRNA U6 U6 spliceosomal RNA